ACUGCCACCGAAACUGGCUCCGCGCGCCCUCCCCGCGCCUCGCCUCCCAGCCCCGGCGCGUCGCCCUGGGGGACCCCGGGCACCGCACCUGCCUCGCACCCACCUUGGUGGCCAGAAUCCCAGGGUGCUCACCUGGCCGGUGCACCUGCCGCCGCCCGUGCUGCCAAUCCACAGUUCAACUGAGCCAGGAGGACCGUCCUCCGCUUCCCCCACCCCCUACCCCCGGGCAUGCGCACCAAUUUCUGGCCGAACCCGCCCGGGGCUGUGCGCUGGGACCCACCUGCCGUGCCCUUAGCCGGUUGCUCCGUGCGCUGGACCGCUCUCCCGCAACUCCACCGCUGUCGCCUAAGGAAAGAGGGGCCGGGAGGAAGCCAAUUGAAGAAUGCUGUGACAGAAUUAAGCGACACCCUUGCCCUGCUGUUCAGCAGGGUCCUUGCUGCUCUCCCAGCUGUAGAAGGUAUCUUCCUUCGCCACAUCCUCAUCGUAUAGAGCCUCAAAGAACAUCCGAAGCGGGUUGGCAGGUCAUUCUAAGGUCACUUCUCACUACAAGGGCCUGGAGAGCAUUAGAGUGCUCAUAGCUCCUCCUGCUCACCACACAGGUAUUUCCGCAGCCGUCUUGCGCCCACUUUCAACACUUGAACAUCCCCUCGGAGAGGAGUCUCAGCUCUCUCCAGUCAAACCCACGCUGAUUACUGCCGCAGUCCUUCAGCUGCUUCUCUGGCUGCUGAAGGGGAGCGCCCUCUGCCCAAGACCUUCAGAUUCUUCUCCCAAGGUCUAUUCCACCUUCUUUUCAGCCACAAAUGAGCCAAUGAGUCUUGGCCCUCUGCUAGAAAUUCUCUCCAGCUCACCCCAGCCUCUUGCCACUGCAUCCCCACCUUUUUGGGACCCCAUGCUCUUGCAUAAGAGACCCAGGAUCUCCAGCAACAAAGAAGACAGUGUCUGAAGACAGCGACAGUGUACUCACAUACAUGAAAUAAAUAAAUAGGGGGGGGGGGGGGGGGAGGAAGU
rnacentral:lncRNA from 1 species